rnacentral:rRNA from 1 species
ACGGGUAGCCGGCCUGAGAGGGUGUCCGGCCACACUGGGACUGAGAUACGGCCCAGACUCCUACGGGAGGCAGCAGUGGGGAAUAUUGCACAAUGGGCGCAAGCCUGAUGCAGCGACGCCGCGUGGGGGAUGACGGCCUUCGGGUUGUAAACCUCUUUCACCAUCGACGAAGGUCCGGGUUCUCUCGGAUUGACGGUAGGUGGAGAAGAAGCACCGGCCAACUACGUGCCAGCAGCCGCGGUAAUACGUAGGGUGCGAGCGUUGUCCGGAAUUACUGGGCGUAAAGAGCUCGUAGGUGGUUUGUCGCGUUGUUCGUGAAAUCUCACGGCUUAACUGUGAGCGUGCGGGCGAUACGGGCAGACUAGAGUACUGCAGGGGAGACUGGAAUUCCUGGUGUAGCGGUGGAAUGCGCAGAUAUCAGGAGGAACACCGGUGGCGAAGGCGGGUCUCUGGGCAGUAACUGACGCUGAGGAGCGAAAGCGUGGGGAGCGAACAGGAUUAGAUACCCUGGUAGUCCACGCCGUAAACGGUGGGUACUA